GUGCCAGCAGCCGCGGUAAGACAGAGGUGCCGAGCGUUAGGCGGAAUCACUGGGCUUAAAGCGUGUGUAGGCGGACUUGUAAGUACCUUGUGAAAUCCCACAGCUCAACUGUGGAACUGCUUGGUAUACUGCUUGUCUUGAGCCACUUAGGGGCAGUCGGAACAGACGGUGGAGCGGUGAAAUGCGUAGAUAUCGUCUGGAACGCCAAAGGUGAAAACAGACUGCUGGGAGUGUGCUGACGCUGAGACACGAAAGCCAGGGGAGCAAACGGGAUUAGAAACCCCGGUAGUCC
rnacentral:rRNA from 1 species